rnacentral:lncRNA from 1 species
GAUACUCUGCUGCAGGAAUCCACUUUUCAUCCAGCAAUGGAGGUUCGAGGAGAGCAUAAUAUAAUUGGGAAUCCAUCUGAUUGUGUUUCCUUUGAACAUCAAAAUAAUGCACCUAGGUGCGUUUAUCAAUCAUAUCCAACAAUUCAUCCUACUCCAUUUACCUUACUUCGCCCUAACCAAGAGCAUUAUAAGUCACUUCUGCACAUGUCCUCCUCAUUUUCAAAUCUUGUUGUGUCUACCCUUCAACAAAACCCUGCUGCUCAUGCAAUAGCUAGUUUGACAGCAACAUGUUGGCCCUAUGUGAAUCCUGAAACUUCUGUAGAUUCUCCCGUUUGUGAUAAGGAAGGUUCUGGAACCAAGCAAAUGAACCCCACCCCAAGUAUGGAAGCCAUUGCU